GAUGAAGAACGCAGCGAAAUGCGAUAAGUAAUGUGAAUUGCAGAAUUCCGUGAAUCAUCGAAUCUUUGAACGCAUAUUGCGCCCGCCAGUAUUCUGGCGGGCAUGCCUGUUCGAGCGUCAUUUCAACCAUCAAGCCCCAGGCUUGUGUUGGGGACCUGCGGCUGCCGCAGGCCCUGAAAACCAGUGGCGGGCUCGCUGUCACACCGGGCGUAGUAGAUUUUAUCUCGCUCAGGGCGUGCUGCGGGUUCCGGCCGUUAAAAAGCCUUUUUUACCCAAGGUUGACCUCGGAUCAGGUAGGAAGACCCGCUGAACUUAAGCAUAUCAAUAAGCGGAGGA
rnacentral:misc_RNA from 1 species